rnacentral:rRNA from 1 species
GUGGGGAAUAUUGGACAAUGGGCGAAAGCCUGAUCCAGCAAUGCCGCGUGAGUGAUGAAGGCCUUAGGGUUGUAAAGCUCUUUUACCAGGGAUGAUAAUGACAGUACCUGGAGAAUAAGCUCCGGCUAACUCCGUGCCAGCAGCCGCGGUAAUACGGAGGGAGCUAGCGUUGUUCGGAAUUACUGGGCGUAAAGCGUACGUAGGCGGCGAUUCAAGUCAGAGGUGAAAGCCUGGAGCUCAACUCCAGAACUGCCUUUGAAACUAGAUUGCUAGAAUCUUGGAGAGGUCAGUGGAAUUCCGAGUGUAGAGGUGAAAUUCGUAGAUAUUCGGAAGAACACCAGUGGCGAAGGCGACUGACUGGACAAGUAUUGACGCUGAGGUACGAAAGCGUGGGGAGCAAACAGG